CAGAACGAACGCUGGUGGCGUGUCUUAUACAUGCAAGUCGAGCGGUGCAGCAAUGCAUAGCGGCGAACGGGUGAGUAACGCGUAAGCAAUCUGCCCCCUGUUCGGGAAUAGCCGUGCCAACGCGCGGGUAAUACCGGAUAUAGUGGCCCUGGACAUCCGGGGUUGACAAAAGAUUUAUCGACAGGGGAUGAGCUUGCGUCCGAUUAGCUAGUUGGCGGGGCAACGGCCCACCAAGGCGACGAUCGGUAGCCGGCCUGAGAGGGUGAUCGGCCACAUUGGGACUGAGAUACGGCCCAGACUCCUACGGGAGGCAGCAGUAGGGAAUAUUGCACAAUGGGGGAAACCCUGAUGCAGCAACGCCACGUGUUGGGAAGAAGCAUUUCGGUGUGUAAACCACUGUCGUGAGGGAAUAAGGCUGAGUUUCGGCUCAGUUGAAUGUACCUCGAGAGGAAGCACCGGCAAACUUCGUGCCAGCCGCAGC
rnacentral:rRNA from 1 species